rnacentral:lncRNA from 1 species
AUAGGCAUAUCAAACGACUUCUCGUAUACCAAUGAGAGAAUCAUCAUUCAAUUUAGCCUAUGGAGCAGAAGUAAUGAUUUCACUUGAGAUCAGAUUACCUUCAAUAAGGGUUGAGCAAUACAGUGAGCUGAGCAAUUUCGAAUGUCGGAGAGUUGAUCUAGAUCUUUUUCCUAAAGUCUGACAGCAAGCUUAACUUCAGAUGGCAGUCUAUUAGCAGAAGGUAGCC